rnacentral:lncRNA from 12 species
GUAAUUCAAGUUGAUUAUCUGUCAUUUGCAACAGUGAAUGAUGAGCCUAACACUGGAAUAACAUUAUAAGAUUCAAAUACUGAACUCCUGGCAUCUCAUCAGGACAUUCCAUUUGACUUUACCUGGAAAUGGAGGAACGCUUGCAAAGAGAAAAUGGAACCUGUGCAUCAGAACACCGGCUCAGAAGCAGAUCAAGGAUGAGUACUUUGAGAAACACAGGUACCUUUAAGUAUUCCAUAUCAAUGACAGAAUCACUGGCUGCCCGGAGCAGAGAGGGCCACUGUGGAGCUGUCACUUCUUCAAUCACUUGUGUUUCAACUUUGAUUCAUUCCUACACUCACCAGUGGGGAGUUGUGAAGUGUGCUGCCUUCUUAUCUGCACAAAUUAAAAUGGAUCCUGCAGCAUGGAAAGGAGAAGGAAGAAAUGUUAGAAGAGAAAAGGGAACUCGCCCAGCAUGGAUUCAAAGGCAGUGGCAGAAGAUGUCGAGUGAAGAUAUGUUUGACUAUUUGACGUACAGAGCAAAAGGAUCCACUUGAAUCUGGAUGUGGUAUCUUGGACGACACAGAAUGAAAUGCAAGAUAAUAAGAAGGAUACGAAAUGGAUCGUAAAGCUUCUGCUCAGAAGACUUUAUGUCACCUCUUCUACUUCACUCAUCAAACCAAGCCAUGUGUCUGAGCUUUAUGGCAACAGGACAGAGACCCAGUACUAGUAACAUGAUAUGGAAUAGAGAUGUAUAAUCCUAUUAUAGGUGGGACAACAAAUAAUUGGAAAUAAAUUAAAAUCUUGGGUUACA